ACUUGUGCCAGAGACGUUUUUAUUUAUUUGUCUCAUAAGCAUUUAUUUUAUUUCAAUUUUGAGAAUUUUUUUCCCCAAAAUAGGGAAAAAUUAUAACUGAAUUAGUGUAUAAUUCUUGUUUCAAUUCUAAUUUGUUUUUCAGUACAUCCCAAAAUCAAAAGGGCCAUGAUUUCAGCAUUUUUUUAGCGCUGGAUGUGUUAUGGUAGAGGAUGGUUGGCACAAUGAUUUGGUCAAGCAUUUUGCACUCAAUGGGAGUACUGUUUCCAAGAUUGAUAUUUUGAACAGCCGUUAGCGUUAUAUAUCUUUAAUGUGGUCCUAUACUGUGAAUGUGGCCUAUUUGGUUGAUUUGUUAUAACCGCAAGCACUAUCAGAUGGCUCUAUAAGUUUUCAGAGGAAAUUAUGACAUAAACAGGUUUCGAACAACUUUGUUUGGAAGCCACCUUGUAAGGUGUCGUACAAGGAUUUGCUAAGACUUAUGGUCAACCAUCAACGAUAGGAAAUUUAACAUCUGGACGAUAUGCAUUAAUUUUAGUUUAUUCGUAAGGUUCAUAUGCACUUAAAAAUUUGGAGGGCAUUCGAUUUAUUGUCUGUCUUUUAAUUUCCUUUGUUGCAAUUUUUUGUGUUGUUUACGGUUAUUCAUUAUCCCUUUUGAUUGGGUUUAUCGUUACCUCUUGUGCCUCCCGAAAUUGCAUCUCAUGUCCUGAGAGUGCUGAUCUCUGUGAUGGACAUUUGAAGAAACUUUUUCUGUAAGUUUAAUUUCUUAUUUGCCACAGUUCUUGGGAUUUGGAUACUUUUUUCCUUCUCUUAAAGCUGGAGAUAUCAAGUGGAAUUUUGAGUCAAUCCCUGACCAUUUCAGGCUUGCAAACAAAUGAUGUUGAACCUUUUUAUCAAAAGAUCAGAUCACAUUGUAUUGCCAGUGUGCUGAAAAUCCAGUUUGUACUGCCUAUGAAUAAACUCUAUGCAAUUCUUAAAUAAUUUUGAAUUGCUUUGCA